AGACCCGAAACCCGGUGAUCUAGCCAUGGGCAGGUUGAAGGUUGGGUAACACUAACUGGAGGACCGAACCGACUAAUGUUGAAAAAUUAGCGGAUGACCUGUGGCUGGGGGUGAAAGGCCAAUCAAACCGGGAGAUAGCUGGUUCUCCCCGAAAGCUAUUUAGGUAGCGCCUCGUGAAUUCAUCUCCGGGGGUAGAGCACUGUUUCGGCUAGGGGGCCAUCCCGGCUUACCAACCCGAUGCAAACUGCGAAUACCGGAGAAUGUUAUCACGGGAGACACACGGCGGGUGCUAACGUCCGUCGUGAAGAGGGAAACAACCCAGACCGCCAGCUAAGGUCCCAAAGUCAUGGUUAAGUGGGAAACGAUGUGGGAAGGCCCAGACAGCCAGGAUGUUGGCUUAGAAGCAGCCAUCAUUUAAAGAAAGCGUAAUAGCUCACUGGUCGAGUCGGCCUGCGCGGAAGAUGUAACGGGGCUAAACCAUGCACCGAAGCUGCGGCAGCGAACGUAUCACCCAAGACAACUUUACGGAGUUGACGAUUGACGGAGCGAAGCGACGUCAAAGCGUUCAUUAAAGUCGAGUUGGCUUAGGGAUACGUUCGUUGGGUAGGGGAGCGUUCUGUAAGCCUGUGAAGGUGUGUCGUGAGGCAUGCUGGAGGUAUCAGAAGUGCGAAUGCUGACAUAAGUAACGAUAAAGCGGGUGAAAAGCCCGCUCGCCGGAAGACCAAGGGUUCCUGUCCAACGUUAAUCGGGGCAGGGUGAGUCGACCCCUAAGGCGAGGCCGAAAGGCGUAGUCGAUGGGAAACGGGUUAAUAUUCCCGUACUUGGUGUUACUGCGAAGGGGGGACGGAGAAGGCUAUGUUGGCCGGGCGACGGUUGUCCCGGUUUAAGCGUGUAGGUGUGUGUUCCAGGUAAAUCCGGUUCACUUUAACACUGAGGCGUGACGACGAGGCACUACGGUGCUGAAGCAACAAAUGCCCUGCUUCCAGGAAAAGCCUCUAAGCAUCAGGUAACAUCAAAUCGUACCCCAAACCGACACAGGUGGUCAGGUAGAGAAUACCAAGGCGCUUGAGAGAACUCGGGUGAAGGAACUAGGCAAAAUGGUGCCGUAACUUCGGGAGAAGGCACGCUGACACGUAGGUGAAGUGAUUUACUCAUGGAGCUGAAGUCAGUCGAAGAUACCAGCUGGCUGCAACUGUUUAUUAAAAACACAGCACUGUGCAAACACGAA
rnacentral:rRNA from 1 species